rnacentral:rRNA from 1 species
GGGAGGCAGCAGUGGGGAAUCUUGCACAAUGGGGGAAACCCUGAUGCAGCGACGCCGCGUGAGCGAUGAAGCCCUUCGGGGCGUAAAGCUCUUUCGGCAGGGAAGACGAUGACGGUACCUGCAGAAGCAGCUGCGGCUAACUACGUGCCAGCAGCCGCGGUAAUACGUAGGCAGCAAGCGUUGUUCGGAGUUACUGGGCGUAAAGGGUGUGUAGGCGGUUGUUUAAGUUUGGCGUGAAAUCUCCCGGCUUAACUGGGAGGGCGCGUCGAAUACUGAGCGACUCGAGUGCGGGAGAGGAGAGUGGAAUUCCUGGUGUAGCGGUGAAAUGCGUAGAUAUCAGGAGGAACACCGGCGGUGUAGACGGCUCUCUGGACCGUAACUGACGCUGAGACACGAAAGCGUGGGUAGCAAACAGGAUUAGAUACCCUGGUAGC